rnacentral:lncRNA from 1 species
UUUUUUUUUUUUUUUUUUUUUUUUUUUGCUAUUUCUUGGGCCGCUCCCGUGGCAUAUGGAGGUUCCCAGGCUAGGGGUCAAAUUGGAGCUGUAGCCAACGGCCUACGCCAGAGCCACAGCAAUGCAGGAUCCGAGCCGUGUCUGAGACCUAUGUCACAGCUCAUGGCAACGCCGUAUCCUUAACCCACGGAGCAAGGCCAGGGAUCCAACCCGCAACCUCAUGGUUCCUAGUCGGAUUCGCUAACCACUGAACCACGACGGGAACUCAAGACUUAAGUAAUUUUAAGAAUAAUUCUAUUAUAGCUGGUUUACAGUGUAAAUCAGCUAUAAUGGAAAAAAUAAAAAUUAUUAUAAAUGAAAAAAAGAAUAAUUCUGACUAUAUGAAAAUUUGGGUUUAUAGGAUACUCUUUCUAAGGCAUCCUGUGUGAUAUGACUCUACUCUUCUGAAAUAUUUGGUGUUUGCUGAAUUGCACUUUAAUUCCCUAGUGUAUUGUUGGGUGAAAAACACAAUCGACACUUUAUAAACUGUAUAUGAGUUUUUCACCACAAAUUUGAAAAAUCAUAGCUUGGUUUUUACUCUAUACCAUCUUCUCUCUGCAUUAAACUACUGGCAGUGGCUGUAUGCCCAUUUAAUACCAGUCUAGGAAAAGCAGAGAUGGAAAAAAUUACAUCUAUUACCAAAAAAAGUCAUCUAUUAUAAUAUGCUCCCCAAUUAUUAUCCAAGUAGUAUACUGUGCAUUUUCUAUGCCAAGGCUCAGCUCCUUUUAGCAUGGAAAAUUGAGAAAGGACUAGACAGCCAAAAUUAUAGUGUUUACAAAGGACAGCUUUAUGAGCCAGAAAGAAGCUGCCCUAAAUUCCUGCCAGUGGCAGGAAAGAAUGUCUUCCUCCAGAGCUCAGCCUUAAGGUUCCAUCUGCCAGGUGAUACUGCAGUACCAAGGAACAGAUGAUUCCAUGGUCUGCCCUGAUUUCCCAUCCCAUGGGGAGUCUAACAUAUAGGAUAUAACAGGAAGAAAGAAUCAGAACUCCUGUAUUGAAUAAAACCUGAGUGUCCAAAGAUACUAUCAGGUUGAUAUCCUGCUGAUAAAUGUCCUCUGAAAGAAGAAAUUUCACAGUAUUCUCUUAAUAGAACACACAAAAGAGUUACCAGAGUUAUAGGGAAGAGAAAAAAACUUAACUGAAAGCAAGACUUGAGACUCCUCUUGGACUCUUAUCUUUAAGAAUAUAGGUUGUCUCUGUCUUACGAGCAUCCAGUUUAGGGUCAUUCCAUAUACAUAUCACACAAGUAGUUUGGCUUGGUAGGGGCAGUAGGAAGGAAACAUUUAGAAACAAAAUGAGCCAGAUCAUAACAGGAGCAUAGAAACAACAGACUCCUAUCAAGUAUAGAAAGGAAUAUAGACAAAUUUUUAGCAGUGGGGAGUCAAGUACCACAUAUUUUGUAAGAAGAAGUGAGUUAGCAUGACUUAAGUACCAUUCCAUACAAACUGGAAUUUGGGCCAGAACUCCAGAUUCCAGGAGAAUUGUAGAGAGGAAGAUAAAAAUCUCAGCAUCAAGGGAGCCAGGGUAGGGAUCAGACACAGGGAAACAGCACAAUAAUAUUUCCAGAGGCAGUAAGAAUAUCUUAGUCAUUUUGGGGGGUUCCAUUUUCUAGCUCAGUGCCUGAUGUGCAGGAAGUGAAUUUGAAACUGCCGAUCACUCUUUCUUGAACAUUGACUCUUGUUGGUUUAUAUGGCAUUACUCUUUUCUUCAACUCUAGUCCUGCCUUUUUAGCCUCCUGUGAAGGGUCCUUCUCACCACAUACAGGAAAUCUCUGUAAAUGUCUCACUGGUACCUCAAAUUCAGUGCAUCCAAAAUACACUCACUCCCAUCUUCAAACCUGAGCCUUUUCCUCUGUUCACUGCCUCAGUGAAUGGCACCAUCCAUCUUCCCCAAAACUUGAAUCACUAGUUGGAUGGCAGCUUUUCCUCUUUCAUCUCUCUUACCAUCUACAUUCAAGAAGCAAAUCCAGUUGAUUUAAUCUUCUGAAUAGCUUUUAAAACUACUGCCUCCCCCUUUUUUUCUAUAGUGACUGCCACUUCCCUAAUCAGGCCACCAUGACCUUUGACUAAUAUUAUUGCACAAUCUACUAAAUAAUCUCCUGGUUUCCAGCUUUGCUAUCAUUCAUUGCAUUCCUCCUACUGCAGCCAGGCUAUCUUUAGAAACAUAAAUCUAAUUAUGUCUUUUCUUUGAUGAAAUCCUUCAAUUCUCUAUUAGUUUAGGUUCCCACAUUUAAGAAUAAAGUUCUGAUUUCUUGAAGUGAUUAUAAGACUCUUCUUGAUUUGGCUCCUGAUUACUUCUCCAGUCUUUUCUUUCCCCUGCUUGUUCCUUUAUAUAAUUUCCACUCAGUUUCAACUUCAGUCUAGAAGAAGACUGAUACUAUGCUGUCUAUAGAAACUUCAGUCUUUUGCAAAUUUUUCUCUCUGUCCUGAAUACUCUUUCCCUCUUGGUCUGGCUAGCACCUACUCAGCUUGUAGGUCAUCCUUGAAUAACACCUCUUCUAGAACAUGCUCCAUGUUUAAAUACCCAGUCAUAGAACUUGUCAGAGUUCAAAUACAUUCUUAUAUUAUGUAUCAGAAUGUAAUCUGCAUAAGGGAAGAAAUGAUCUGCCUGCCUUACUUACCAUCAUAUUCACAGGGCAUAGCACUGUUCUUGGCACAUUAUUCUCUCCCAGUUGAGCUCACCUGAAGAAAUUUGUAGCAAUAGAUUUUGAAAAUAGUUUGGACAUGAAAACAAGACCCUGAAAAUUGAGGGUGUAGACCUUUUAAGAGUCCUAGAAGGGAUUUCCCGCUGUGGCUCAAUGGUAAUGAACCCGACUUGUAUCCAUGAGGACACAGGUUCAAUCCCUGGCCGUGUUCAGUGGGUUAGGGAUCCAGCAUUGCUGUGAUCUAUGGUGUAGGUUGCAGAUGUGCCUUGGAUCCCAUGUUGCUGUGGCUGUGGUGUAGACCAGCAACUGCAGUUCCCAUUCAACCUCUGGCCUGGGAACUUUCAUAUGCUAUAGGUGUGGCCCUAAAAAGCAAACAAACAAACAAAAAGAGUCCUAGAAGAACACUGUGGUGAUGGAUUAAGAAAGGUUGAAAAUUCUUUGACAUUCUUCUCAUGGAAAGGUGGAGGGCUGUUUCUUCUUCUUUUGAAUCUGGGUGGGCCUGUGUCAAUUUGACAGGUAGAAUAUGCUAGAUGGGAUGUUCUGCUGGUUUGCACUUAGCAUUUGAAGAAUAAGCAGCUUUACUAUAUUCCUUUGAAGUCCUGAGAUGCCAUGUGAGAAGCCUAACUGCACUGUUGGAGGAGGGUAGAGAGGCUCUGGAACUACAAGAAGAGAAAGAGGGACCCAGCUGAGUCCAGCCUUGCAGAUGUUCUUGCCUAGGUUUCAGGCACAUGACUGAAGUCCUCAGGGAUCUUCCAGAAUGCAAGAAACCAAGCUAUCAGGCAAAAGUGAUCCCAGUAGACUUUAAGUGAGCAGAAAAAAAUUGCUCUGUAGAAACUUACCCAAAUCCUUGACCACCAGAAUCAUGAGACACAAUAGAGUGGUUUUUAUUCAUAGUCAGCUUACAGUCAGUAAUUUUGGGGGUGGCUUGUUAUACAGCAAUAGAUAACCAGAGCAUUCGAUGCUUCCUUCUUAUUGGCUGUUAGAGAUGCAAAGUAGGGAAGGGAUUUUUCUGGAUCCUGCCGUGUUGCAGUAGCUCUGGCUUUAGGCUUGAAGCUGGGAUGGGGAGAUGUGUGCUUGGAGUCCUGAGUCUCAGCUCAGAGUCCAUUUUCCCCUAGCAUCAAUUUAUUUUGCAGAUGGGUUUCCAGACCAGCCUUCAAAAACCCACUAAGCUCACAUACAUUUUGAAUAAUUACUUUUCCAGCUCACACAAACAAAUAUUUGGAACCUGACCUAUUUGGAAACUGGGAAUUGACUGGGAAGAAAGAAGCUCAUAUCUGUUAAGAAGUGGCAAAAAUUACAGUCAGGGUUAUGACUUAGAGUCAAGCCUGCAGAAAGAGAUUGACAGUUAAAGUGGUGCUGGUGGGAAGAGAAUGAUGGAAGCUACAGAUACCUGUACUUGCUACUUGUUUCAUUCCAGCCCAGAUUUGGGGGGCAAUCACUCCCCUAGGGAGAGUAACUAUAAUGGCUAAAGGGAUCUGUAUUGGUUGGUCAUUUGUUUGAGCCUACUAUGGUUCUGGUAUACCAACUCCUGAUUACUCAUGCCUCAACUUCCUGUGCCAAGUCAUUUGCAUGGAAACCCAGUUCCCAAAGAGCAAACCUGAGAUACCUGCUGUCACAUAUCUCUUAUUUAUCUCGGUCCUCAGUAGUUUCUCUGAUUUGUAGAGCUCUGGAAAUUACUUGACCUACUUUCAUUUACAGCAUCAUCCCAAGUUUUGGACUUUCCCUCUCUCGUCCUUUCACUGUCUUUUCCUCUCUAGUCAUUACCACCAACUCCCCAAGUGGCCAAAAGUGUAAAUCUCCAGUUGGUCCCACAUGACAGUGUGCCUAAGGCUUCUACUCAACUGUGUUCCCAGAUCUCACCCUUUUUAUUUUAGUCAAGAUUAUUUCAGUUGUAAGAGAUGCACAUCCAACUGCAUCCUAUUUAAUCUUUAAUCUAAAAAGGGGGGAUUUAUUAUCUUUUUUUCCCCCAGCAGAAGGAAUGGGACCAUCCUCUAGGGAAACUGGAUCAUGGGUGAGAUCUACAAGAUUAUUCCCUGAUCUCCAACAUCUGCUCUUUUUCAUUUCCUUUUGGUUUAAAUGUGUCAGGAAACAAAGCUACAGAGUUAAGGACUUAUAUCCUUUUGUUAGGAAACCAGAGAAGGAAGAAAAGUUUCCUUGCUAGGAUUCCUGCAUGUGCCCAAACCAGAGCAAUGAUGGCAGGGUAAGGCACUUUGGCUGCGUCAGCCCAGCUCUUUGUCCAGCCCUGUGAUGAGAUAGGGGGCUGUUACCAAGCACAGGCUUCCCCAGAGGCAGUGCCUGUUAACUAAGGAGACAUCCCAAGUUGCAGGGGCAGCUCUUGCAUGAUCCUCUGGGUCAACUGAGACUGUCGUUGGUGAGUGACCAGAGGAGGAACAGGUGAGAGAGACUGUGGAGCACUGAGGAGUGAACAUGGGAGAUCAGGAACAGAACUAGAUAGGAGUUUGCCCACCUGAACACAUGCUCAAGUUCAGGGAAAAUGGGGCAAAUGAGAAGAGCAGCAUGGCCUUUUCUCAGAGAGGCCCAGAUCUUGACCAUAUGGCCAUUUGUAGAGAUUUGUUAUAAUGUUAUAAGCAUUUGAAGACUGGACAGACUUGAAAUUGAGUUGUUUAUUGCUGGUAUUAGAACAGUCAUUUCCUACAGGUAAUUCUGUUUUAUGUGAACUGUGUUUGUACACCUAUAUUUUACCCCAAGGAUAAUAGCUGGACUUCCUUUGAGCUGUUAGCAGACUCAAGAAGGAGGGCUCUGACUUGAAAUGGAACAUAAAUGAAGAUGAAUAUGUUUUCUUUUUUUUUUAGCCAAAAGUAGUUAAAGAGAUGAAAAAUUGUUUUAAAAUAACUGUGAAAUAAUGAAGGGGAGGCAAACAUUAAAAAACUCUCUUUUUAUAAGAAGGAAAUUAAAUAUGUUGAAUGGAUAGCCUAAUUACCUUAUUUAAGAAUAUCUUUUUCACUAAGAAAAUCAAAUGAAUAUAUUUAAAUGAAAUAGCAGUUGAGAAGUGCAAAAUAGCUUUAAAAACCAGAAAACAAAGAUACAUAAUUUUGCAAUGAAUUAGAAUACUUUUAUCUACUUUUUAGAUAAUUUGUGUAUUGCCUUACUAAAUUGAUUGUCUAGAAUAUCCUCACUACUAAAACUUAACAGUCUUCUAGGUCUUUACUGGUAAGAUGAUUGAGUUUGGAAAUCAUCUAUAGAAUCUUAGAAUUGUGCUAUGUUUGUACCUAUUAAGACAAAUCUUGCUUUGCAAACAGAUUAUUCUAAAACAAGUUCCUCUUGUUUCCUAUCUUAAUUUUUAUUCUAAAUCAAGUAAAUAAAACUGAGAUUUGACAUGAGAAAAUAUUCUUUUUGUGAAAGUAUUUUUGUUUUCACAGAAGGCAGGGGCUCCAGAGUUGGAUGUUUCUCACAAAAUCUGGCUUAGUAUUCAUUGAUCUCUCCUAUAUUUAUGACAAAUUGACUUUCCAGAGAAGCUUGGAUUUUGAAUGUGUAGUUCCAGUAAGUGCAUUCAUCCAGGUUAGACUGUGAGUCCAGAAAAAAAUGGACAUUACACGCAGGCAGUAAGAGUAGUGUAGAUUUUACCAAUUUUUCCUUGAAAAGCUUAGUUCAAAUUGGCUGGAAUGGGAAAACUGUCACACGGUGAAAGGUGAUUUAAAGAACACAAGAAACAUGUUUAAAAUGGAUGCAACAGUUAGAACCUAAGCCACAUCUAAAAUUCAGUUGAUUAAAAUGCAGAUUGGACUAGAGAAAAAUCAUUGUAAAUAGUGAUUCUCAAUGGGUGAGAAACUCAUACAUCAGUCAUCCUGAAAGGGGCGCAUGUCGAAAGGUUAACUAAAAAUAUCUGUGCGUGUACUGGACAUUUUUUUUUUUUUAAAGCCUCGUGGAAACAGGUGAUGAAAGGCAAUAAGAAGGCAAAGUGUUUGGACUGCUUAUAAGGAAGCAGCCUCUUCUGAUGCUGUCAAGGGAUAACAACCUGGUAAAGGGUAACUGCUGUGAUGCAAAGCCACCUCCUGAGAUGGCU